CGCCGCUGGCGGCAGGCUUACACAUGCAAGUCGAGCGCCCCGCAAGGGGAGCGGCAGACGGGUGAGUAACGCGUGGGAACGUACCAUUUGCUACGGAAUAACUCAGGGAAACUUGUGCUAAUACCGUAUGUGCCCUUCGGGGGAAAGAUUUAUCGGCAAAUGAUCGGCCCGCGUUGGAUUAGCUAGUUGGUGGGGUAAAGGCUCACCAAGGCGACGAUCCAUAGCUGGUCUGAGAGGAUGAUCAGCCACACUGGGACUGAGACACGGCCCAGACUCCUACGGGAGGCAGCAGUGGGGAAUAUUGGACAAUGGGCGCAAGCCUGAUCCAGCCAUGCCGCGUGAGUGAUGAAGGCCCUAGGGUUGUAAAGCUCUUUCACCGGUGAAGAUAAUGACGGUAACCGGAGAAGAAGCCCCGGCUAACUUCGUGCCAGCAGCCGCGGUAAUAA
rnacentral:rRNA from 1 species